UUUGGCUCUGGCAGGGAGUGGGGUCUGGUGGGUUAGAGCUAUGGGGCAGAGAGACAGGACUCCUGGGUUCUCUCCUUUGGCUCUGGCAGGGGAGUGGGGUCUGGUGGGUUAGAGCUAUGGGGCAGAGAGACAGGACUCCUGGGUUCUCUCCUUUGGCCCUGGCAGGGGGUGGGGUCUGGUGGGUUAGAGCUAUGGGGCAGAGAGACAGGACUCUUGGGUUCUCUCCUUUGGCUCUGGCAGGGGAGUGGGGUCUGGUGGGUUAGAGCUAUGGGGCAGAGAGCCAGGACUCCUGGGUUCUAGCCCCAGCUCUGGUCCUGAUUCCCUCGGUGAGCAGCAGUUUUGCCACCUGAUGCUAGGGCCCUGUAGAGAACAGGGCACGUUUAUUGCAGGGAGAUGCAGAGGGUUAAGGCACUGAUUGUCCCCCUCCCCCACCACAGCCUGUGGGCCGUUAUCACCUUCUGGGGCCCCUGGUUUCCCGCCCGUGUUUCGACACAGGCCCCCUAUGAUUUCCCAAGGCCCCAGCGGGAUGUUGCACAAGGCAAAACUGACGCCCGGCCUCUCUUGGUUAACACUGCGCCUGGCUCCAGCCGGGCACGUCCCCCUCCCUUGCUCCUGGGCCCAGGGCAUGGGACAGGGUGGGGGGGUUGCAGGGCCUCUCUGUGACAUCCUCCUUAAGAGCGGCCUCCCCACCAGCCCUGGCCACUGCCCAGCCCUCUCGGCUCAUCAGGGUGGCCCUGCCCUGCACCCUUGGCCCAGGCAGCCCUGCCAUGUGAUCAGCACCAUGCACUGCGCUGGGAGGACCCUUGGUGCAAACACUCCAGCAUCCCCCAGCACAGCCACUCGCAAACACUGCUCACUGCCCUUGUAGCAUCGGAGGCAGGGUGGUCUCGUGGGGAGUGCAAUGGACUGGGACUCGAGAGAGCUGGGGUCUGUCCCUGGCUCUGGCCUGUUGGGUGACCUUAGGCAAGCUGUGCCGCUCGCUGCCUCAGUUUCCCCAUCUGUACAAUAGGGUUCACAGCGCUGACUUCCUCGGUGAAGCGCUUUGAGAUCAACAGAGAAGAGCCUGCCAGGACUGUCACUAUGGCCCUGGGAGCUGGCAGUUUGUGCCAGACCCUACGACGGCUCUGACAGCUGAGAUCCCACUUUACCCACCAGCAGUGCUGACCCCUGCCUGCUCUCUCCCCUGUGCCCCGCCCUGCCUUCCAGCUGCUGGGUCUCAGAUACUCCCCCACCAGGUGGGACCCACAUCCCCUCCUGCACCCACUCCAGGUGUCACCCAGUGGCGCAGGGUGGGGACACUUUCCCUCCAGACCCCUGCGCCUCCCAGCUGGCAUCCUGCAACCUUAGCAUUAGCAGGAGCCGGCAAGCAUUGUGCACCACUGCCCUCUGCUAGGCAGGAUAAGGACUGCUCAACUGUGUGUCAGAGGCCCUGCACUGCUGAGGGGGAUUCUCCCUUGGUGCAGGUGGCUUUGACACCAGGAGGAUCUGAGUUCUGUGUCUCAUCCAGCUAGGCAUGGAGUUCCCAGUGCCCAUGGCUUUGCUACAAGAUUCUACCCAGCUCCUGUACCUUGCUCAGGGAGACCCUACAAUAACAAACCAGCAUGCACAGCAGUGGGCUCGGUGGGCUUUUCAAGCUCCCAGAGAUGUUCAGGUCAGGCUGGCGUCAG